CAAAAACCAAGUAUUACUGCAGUCAGUACAGCAUUACGAACUUUAGAAAAAAGUCUUGACCCCAAAGCUUUGGAUCCAGCUGAUUGGCUGGCCUUUGAAGUGGCAAAAGGUGUCACUCAAAGUGCGUCGGAAUCGUGUCGAGUUGGUGGAUGUCCUGCGAGGUGUAGCAGGCUUGGAUGUGAAUCGAUGUGCCGUGGUGACACUUGUACAUCCGGGUGCAUAGGAGGAGCUUGUAGUACAUUUUGCAAUGGACCCGGC